rnacentral:rRNA from 1 species
GACAGAGGGUGCAAACGUUGUUCGGAUUUACUGGGCGUAAAGGGCGCGCAGGCGGCGCAUUUUGUCAGGCGUGAAAGCCCCGGGCUUAACCUGGGAACUGCGUUUGAUACGGAUGGGCUAGAGUUCGGGAGAGGAGAGUGGAAUUCCCAGUGUAGAGGUGAAAUUCGUAGAUAUUGGGAAGAACACCGGUGGCGAAGGCGGCUCUCUGGACCGAGACUGACGCUGAGGCGCGAAAGCUAGGGGAGCAAACGGG